AUACCUACCCCACGAUCAUAUCUAUUGGACUACGAUAAUGUGCGUGUAACGACCUCCGGUACCAGUUUCUUUAACCAAUGUUUCCCUAGUAGCUCAAUCGAUCUGGCAUUGGCUUUUAAUACUACACAUUUCCUAUCAAAACCACUUCCACUGUCAGACCAUAUGUAUCGAUUCUUUUCGGAAAAUAAGGAAGAAAAGGAAGCCGUUUCAAAGCAAGCAGCUGGCGAUUGGUUGGUGUUCCUCAAACACAGAGCAAAAGAAUUAAAACAAGGUGGCUGGGGAGUGUUCUCAACGCUAACAGAGACGGGCGCUACACCAGACAAGCCUGCAAUGAUGGGUGCCCAUGAUAUAUUUGCUAUUAUGGAUGAAAUUUGGAAAUGUUUUGUUUUAAAGGGCCUAAUAACUAAGGAAGAAUACAGUCGGUGCACGUUUGCUGCAUGUUUUAGAAACGCACUUGAGUUACAGGAACCGUUUAGCUCUGAAGAAUUAAGUGAGACAGGUUUGAGACUUGAUGACGUUAAUUUUGCUAAAAUCCCAGGCUUUUUUACUACGGAAUGGAGAGAACGUUUAAAACAAGGCAAUGAUGACAGAGCAACGUUUGCUAGAGAUAUCACUAAAAGCACAAGGCCCUACUCUUACAGUUCAUUUCAUCGUUCAUUGAACGAGGACAGAAGUUCCGAGGAGAAAUCUCAGAUUUGUGAUCUAUUGUACAACGAGAUGGAGAACUAUUUUCUAUCGAAGCACCCUGAGGAUUUCAUGACAGAUUAUUUAACAAACACAGUUUAUGUUUAUAAAGAAUAGAUAAUAGAA